AACGAACGCUGGCGGCAGGCCUAACACAUGCAAGUCGAGCGCCCCGCAAGGGGAGCGGCGGACGGGUGCGUAACGCGUGGGAAUAUGCCCUUUGCUACGGAAUAGUCUCGGGAAACUGGGGGUAAUACCGUAUACGCCCUUUGGGGGAAAGAUUUAUCGGCGAAGGAUUAGCCCGCGUUGGAUUAGGUAGUUGGUGGGGUAAUGGCCUACCAAGCCGACGAUCCAUAGCUGGUUUGAGAGGAUGAUCAGCCACACUGGGACUGAGACACGGCCCAGACUCCUACGGGAGGCAGCAGUGGGGAAUCUUAGACAAUGGGGGCAACCCUGAUCGAGCCAUGCCGCGUGAGUGAUGAAGGCCUUAGGGUUGUAAAGCUCUUUCAGCUGGGAAGAUAAUGACGGUACCAGCAGAAGAAGCCCCGGCUAACUCCGUG
rnacentral:rRNA from 1 species